UCUGAAUGUGUUGUUUUCUAAACAGAUUUUGAGGAGAUAUAUAAAAUAAUGACAAUGAAAUUGAGCCUAUUCCUCCCUCCCAUUCAGCUUGUUCCACCAGUGGAGGUACAUAGCAUUUAUAAAAGCUUUCUGUAAUUUAUUACAGCAAAAUAUGAUAUAUCAAGUACAACAUCUGAGCGACAGUCCCGUCAUCAUCCAAAAAAAUAAAAGUUGUUUCAUACUAAAGGAGACAGAGACAGUUAUGGCAUCUGUAGUUGCAAUGUUGUUCUUUAAGUCCUGUUUCAUUGGUGUACGAAAUAAAUUGCUACCAUGUAGUAUAAAAAACACACCUGGUGUUUCCUUGCUGUUCAACACUUUAAACAUACUGUCUCGCCAGAGUGGUACAUGCUCUGGUUAUCUCCCGCUUGGAUUACUGCAGUGCGCUCUGUGUGGGGCUACCUUUGAAGGUGACUCGGAAACUGCAACUAAUCCAGAAUGCAGCAGCUGGACUGGGUGUGGCCGCUGGGACCAUAUAACACUGGUCCUAAAGGAUCUUCACUGGCUCCCAGUAUGCUUCCGAGCACAAUUCAAUGUGUUGGUGCUGACCUUUAAAGCCCUAAAUGGCCUCAGCCCAGUAUACCUGAAGGAGUGUCUCCACCCCCAUCAUUCAGCUCAGACACUGAGGUUAUCCCCCGAGGGUCUUCUGGCAGUUCCCUCACUGCGAGAAGUGACGUUACAGGGAACCAGGCAAGGGCCUUCUUGGCAGUGGCACCCUCCCUGCGGAAUGCCCUCCCAUCAGGUGUCAAGGAGAUAAAGAACUACACAACUUCUGAAGGCAGUUCUUUUGUAUUAUUAUUAGUAGUAGUAGUAAUUUUUUUCAGCUAUAACCCAUCUCUAUACACACCUAUUCACCCUGGUUUUUGACAUUUAGGUGUAUAUUUUUAGGACCCACCUUAUUUCUGUUGUUUUAUUGUUGUAACCUGCUCUGGGACCUUAGGCUGAAGACUGGGAAAUUAGUAAUUUAUCAUGAUCAUUAUCAUCGUAAUGCACCCCAUAGUCGCCUUUGACUGGACUUAACAGUCCAGGGUUCCUUUAUCUUUAACUAAGUCCAUUGUUAAACCAUGCAAAUACAUCCAAGUUUGGAUGAUGAACAACCUUGCUGCUAUCAGUACAGUAUCCAAAUGUGUUCUUUGGUUUGUUUGUUUGUUUCCUUCAUAUUACUUAAACUAGGGACUUUUUGGAAAAUGCUAAAGAGCAUAAGAAGUUGUUCGGAUUACGUUAAAGGGGAAUGAGUUUUAUUUGUAAUACUUGCUGUUCUUAUUAUUUUAAGAUGAGGUUCUAUUUCCAUUUAAAAGAAAAGACAACAUUAUUUGUGUAAGUGCAAAGGGAUGAUCCUGCCCACAGAACAGCCAGUUUCUAUGAGGGCUUGGGUCAUUACAGAACCAUCUCCCACAACUUGAC
rnacentral:lncRNA from 1 species